CCUACGGGAGACAGCAGUGAGGAAUAUUGGUCAAUGGGCGCGAGCCUGAACCAGCCAAGUAGCGUGAAGGAUGACUUCCCUACGGGUUGUAAACUUCUUUUAUAAAGGAAUAAAGUGAGGCCCGUGUGCCUUUUUGUAUGUACUUUCUGAAUAAGGAUCGGCUAACUCCGUGCCAGCAGCCGCGGUAAUACGGAGGAUCCUAUCGUUAUCCGGAUUUAUUGGGUUUAAAGGGAGCGUAGAUGGGUUGUUAAGUCAGUUGUGAAAGUUUGCGGCUCAACCGUAAAAUUGCAAUUGAUACUGGCAGUCUUGAGUACAGUUGAGGUAGGCGGAAUUCGUGGUGUAGCGGUGAAAUGCUUAGAUAUCACGAAGAACUCCGAUUGCGAAGGCAGCGUACUAAACUGCCACUGACAUUGAUGCUCGAAAGUGUGGGUAUCAAACAGGAUUAGAUACCCGGGUAGUC
rnacentral:rRNA from 1 species